rnacentral:rRNA from 1 species
AUUGAACGCUGGCGGCAGGCCUAACACAUGCAAGUCGAGCGAGAAAGGUCUUCGGACUGAGUACAGCGGCGGACGGGUGAGUAAUGCGCAGGAAUCUACCUGGUAGUGGGGGAUAACUCGGGGAAACUCGAACUAAUACCGCCUACGCCCUACGGGGGAAAGCGGGGGACCUUCGGGCCUCGCGCUAUCAGAUGAGCCUGCGUAGGAUUAGCUUGUUGGUGAGGUAAAGGCUCACCAAGGCGACGAUCCUUAGCUGGUCUGAGAGGAUGAUCAGCCACACUGGAACUGAGACACGGUCCAGACUCCUACGGGAGGCAGCAGUGGGGAAUAUUGCGCAAUGGGCGAAAGCCUGACGCAGCCAUGCCGCGUGUGUGAAGAAGGCCCUUGGGUUGUAAAGCACUUUCAAUUGGGAAGAAAGGUUAGCGUGUUAAUAGCACGUAGCUGUGACGUUACCUUUAGAAGAAGCACCGGCUAACUCCGUGCCAGCAGCCGCGGUAAAG